rnacentral:misc_RNA from 1 species
UCAAACUUGGUCAUUUAGAGGAAGUAAAAGUCGUAACAAGGUCUCCGUUGGUGAACCAGCGGAGGGAUCAUUACCGAGUUUACAACUCCCAAACCCAUGUGAACAUACCUAUCGUUGCUUCGGCGGGAUCGCCCCGGGCGCCUCGUGUGCCCCGGAGUAAGGCGCCCGCCGGGGAACUCAAACUCUUGUUUUUAUUUUGGUAUCCUCUGAGUAACGUUUUUAAAAUAAAUAAAAACUUUCAACAACGGAUCUCUUGGUUCUGGCAUCAAUGAAGAACGCAGC